CCUACGGGAGGCAGCAGUGAGGAAUAUUGGUCAAUGGCCGGGAGGCUGAACCAGCCAAGUCGCGUGAAGGAAGACGGCCCUACGGGUUGUAAACCUCUUUUGUCUGGGAGCAAGGUGCAGUUUGGGACCUGCUGUGCGAGUACCUGAUGAAAAAGCAUCGGCUAACUCCGUGCCAGCAGCCGCGGUAAUACGGAGGAUGCGAGCGUUAUCCGGAUUUAUUGGGUUUAAAGGGAGCGUAGGCGGAUUGUUAAGUCAGUUGUGAAAGUUUGCGGCUCAACCGUAAAAUUGCAGUUGAGACUGGCAUCCUUGAGUACAGUAGAGGUAGGCGGAAUUCGUGGUGUAGCGGUGAAAUGCUUAGAUAUCACGAAGAACUCCGAUUGCGAAGGCAGCUCACUGGACUGCAACUGACGCUGAGGCUCGAAAGUGUGGGUAUCAAACAGGAUUAGAGACCCGGGUAGUC
rnacentral:rRNA from 1 species